AUUGAACGCUGGCGGCAGGCCUAACACAUGCAAGUCGAACGGUAACAGGAAGAAGCUUGCUUCUUUGCUGACGAGUGGCGGACGGGUGAGUAAUGUCUGGGAAACUGCCUGAUGGAGGGGGAUAACUACUGGAAACGGUAGCUAAUACCGCAUAAUGUCGCAAGACCAAAGAGGGGGACCUUCGGGCCUCUUGCCAUCGGAUGUGCCCAGAUGGGAUUAGCUAGUAGGUGGGGUACCGGCUCACCUAGGCGACGAUCCCUAGCUGGUCUGAGAGGAUGACCAGCCACACUGGAACUGAGACACGGUCCAGACUCCUACGGGAGGCAGCAGUGGGGAAUAUUGCACAAUGGGCGCAAGCCUGAUGCAGCUAUGCCGCGUGUAUGAAGAAGGCCUUCGGGUUGUAAAGUACUUUCAGCGGGGAGGAAGGGAGUAAAGUUAAUACCUUUGCUCAUUGACGUUACCCGCAGAAGAAGCACCGGCUAACUCCGUG
rnacentral:rRNA from 1 species